rfam:Salmo salar isolate Sally breed double haploid chromosome ssa12, whole genome shotgun sequence.
UUAUUCUUAUUGUGUUAGUCGCUCUGGAUAAGAGCGUCUGCUAAAUGACUUAAA